rnacentral:rRNA from 1 species
UACGAAGGGGGCUAGCGUUGCUCGGAAUCACUGGGCGUAAAGCGCACGUAGGCGGGUCCUUAAGUCAGGGGUGAAAUCCCGGAGCUCAACUCCGGAACUGCCUUUGAUACUGGGGAUCUUGAGUCCGGAAGAGGUGAGUGGAACUCCGAGUGUAGAGGUGAAAUUCGUAGAUAUUGGGAAGAACACCCGUGGCGAAGGCGGUUCUCUGGGACGGUACUGACGCUGAGACGCGAAAGCGUGGGGAGCGAACAGG